UCGGAACGUGCCUAGUAGUGGGGGAUAACUACUCGAAAGAGUAGCUAAUACCGCAUGAGAUCUACGGAUGAAAGCAGGGGAUCGCAAGACCUUGUGCUACUAGAGCGGCUGAUGGCAGAUUAGGUAGUUGGUGGGAUAAAAGCUUACCAAGCCGACGAUCUGUAGCUGGUCUGAGAGGACGAUCAGCCACACUGGGACUGAGACACGGCCCAGACUCCUACGGGAGGCAGCAGUGGGGAAUUUUGGACAAUGGGCGAAAGCCUGAUCCAGCAAUGCCGCGUGCAGGAUGAAGGCCUUCGGGUUGUAAACUGCUUUUGUACGGAACGAAAAGCUUUGGGUUAAUACCCUGGAGUCAUGACGGUACCGUAAGAAUAAGCACCGGCUAACUACGUGCCAGCAGCCGCGGUAAUACGUAGGGUGCAAGCGUUAAUCGGAAUUACUGGGCGUAAAGCGUGCGCAGGCGGUUUUGUAAGACAGAGGUGAAAUCCCCGGGCUCAACCUGGGAACUGCCUUUGUGACUGCAAGGCUAGAGUACGGCAGAGGGGGGUGGAAUUCCGCGUGUAGCAGUGAAAUGCGUAGAUAUGCGGAG
rnacentral:rRNA from 1 species